UUGUGCUUUAAUUUUGAAAGUUUAAACCGGAUGUUUUGCUUGUUACACUCUGUCUAAUUUGACACUAAUCACCAGAGCAGCUGAGUCUCUCCUCUCCACCGAGAGAAAAAAGAGAAAAGCUCGCUCGCAGUCAAAAACAAUGAGGGCGCACGACGCGCAACUCGCUCCAAAGCUCUCCAACAGCGGCGGAGUUUUUCCUCCCGGAGGAUUCGUAGCAUGCGUCUGUGCGCCAAGCGGAGGGAGAAGGACCACAGGAAUAUAACUUGACUAUCUGCGGAGUUUGUUAUCAUUAUUUUUUGGCUGGGGGUGUUAUCAUGCCUUUUUGCAAACGGACGGUACUUCCGAAAGAUGUGUGCAAGCCCGACGGCAGGAGGCUGCUGGAGGCGCGUCCGCGGCAGCAGGCGGAGAUUUUCGGGGACUUGGCGGACGUGUGCGGCUUCACCCUGUGCUCGGUGCUCCGGCAGCUCUCGGAUCUGUCCCGGCACUCGGUGAGCAUCCUGCAGGAGCUGGAGGGAGAGCUGGUGUCCGUGUGCCACCGGUCGGGCGCGCUGGAGGGCAGAGUGGUCCGGCUGCAGAGGCACGUCGCAGAGCUGGUCAGCAAGCCUCCACCGAGAACCACCAGCGGUCUAGAGGCGGAGAGCGGCAGGCGCGGCGGCAGCAGCAGCAGCCACGGCGACGGCAACCACAGCAGCAGCAGCGGCGGAGGAGGAGGCAGCAGCAGCAGCGGCGGUGCGGCCCACUUCAGGUCUCCAUGGCAACAGAGCGUGAACGUGUUCGGCUCGUGGAGCAGGCCGGAGUGUGUCGAGGAGCUGCACCAGCAGGCGCAGCUCAACCUCCAGAGCCUGCUGCAAGAUUUUGAGGAGCAGUUGUACGACACCAAGCUGACCGGUCAGACUUUCCGGCAUCCGUCCUCGCAGAGCUCCGACGACACGUCCACCUCGCUCAGCCGAUCGCCCAUCUCCCUCAACAACAAGAGACCUGACUUCAUCUUCCUGCCGGCGUCCAAACAGCUCUACGACGAUGAAACCACCUCCUCAGUGUUUGGACUGAGGUCCGUGACCGACCCGUCUCCCUCCCCGUCCCCAUCGCCCUGCGGCUCAGAUCGCCCCCCACUGGGUUGGAGUAGUAACAACAGCAGCAGUAGCACCGCCACUUCUGCUACCACCGGACCGCCUGUUGCAGACAAACCACGCUGGCAGCUCGGGAGACGCACACCGGGUCACUUCAUACCACUCGACAUCACAGGUGAAGGGAGAGGAGGGAAGUUCCACGGUGUCGACCUCCUCCAGCACUCCCCGUCCCCAUCCCCCUCUCCAGGGGACCCCUUCCCCCACCAGCCCCGCUCCCUAGAGCCUGUCACAGACACCCUCCACCAGAACCUCCCCCUGAGGAAGACGCACUCUGACCUCGACACAACCUUACCUGCAGAUAACAAUUUGGAGCAUAGUGCUCCGGGCCAGUUUCACCCAGGAACUAUGGACCACUCUGGGCUGCUGUGCUCAAACACACCGUCCGCUUCCUGGAACGGACCUAAGGGCUCCACUUUUUCUCCUGGAGCGUGGAACGAACCUUACAAAUACAGCACCAACAAAGGCCCGGCGGUCCCACCCAAACAGCACACCAUCAUCGGUAAUUCAGGAGGAGGGACGCAAGACGGGGUGAUGUUAGUGAGCUCAGGACAGCCAGCGAGCUCACAUUCCAGUUCAUUCACGUCUGUGUCGAACCCUUCUGGGAGAGGAGGGAAUAACAUACCAGGGAUUUCACUGGCAACAGCGAUGAUGGGGAAGCGGAGCGAGACGGAAGGGGCUGCAGCGGAUGGAGGGAGGGGAGGAGGAGGUGGGGGAGUUGGGGAAGCAGUGAGAGGGCGGGAGAGGUCGGCACGUUCCAUAGCAGCGGCAAACGCCUUCAAGUUCCGGGAGCGUUCCCUUUCUACGCCCACGGAUUCUGGUUCCUUCUGCUUUACAGAAGGUGGUUUAGGCCAGCCAGACGGGAACAUCCUGCCUACAGGAAAUGGUAAUGCUAUGGCAAUAACAGACCAACAACAGCAUCAUAACUUCCUUGGUUUGGGUGAGAACUACGCCCUUCUCUACCCUCGAGGGAGCUCUGAGGACAGUGCCAGCACCACAGACACAAUCUCUGUCACGGCUUCAGACUACAGUGCCGAUGGCCGCUUGCGCCUACGCUCCCGCUCAAUAUCACUUAAGAAAUCCAAGCGCAAGCCACCACCCCCUGUGAGGAGCGUCUCUCUUAUGAAGAACCUCGGAGAAGCUGAGGGGAGAAUCCAUCAUGAAGGCAGUCUUUACCGGGAUGGCCGGCCAAAAAGCCUACACAUUCCCAGGGACCACUUUCCAGACUUCCAGCCUGAUUUCCUCCUGCCCAGCUCCUCCAAACCCAUUGUUGCUGAGCGGGAGCUGGGCCAUGGAGGUACUGAUGGACCUCCAAGCCUGGAGGUCCAGGCACCAGAGAGGGAGGGAGAGACAGAGCUGACCUUCCCCACUCACUGGCAGCUAGGGGAGUGGAAGAAUGACCCUUACAGAUCUCUUUCAGGCUCCAGCACAGCAACAGGUACCACAGUGAUUGAAUGUAUGAAAGUCAGAGGCAGCUCAGAGUCCCUGCUCGAUUCUCCCUCCACCUCCCGAGCCACCUCACCCUCACAGCUCUCCAUGGAAACAGACAUCAAGGCUUCCUCGCCCUUUAAACCCCCAGGACUCAUGUCCCCAUCAAGUGGCUACUCCAGCCAGUCAGAGACUCCCACCCCAACUGUUCCCCUCAGUCAAAUGGCAGGUCAGGGGACAGUAGGUACAACAGGAACAUUGGGAUGUAAGUUGCGUCCGAAGAUCCCAGAAAGAAAAUCAUCACUACCAUCGCCCAAGGACCCGGCUGCGAGGUCUAGGUUGUCCUUUGAGAUGCCUGGGAAUGCACAUCUGGAGCUGUCAUCAAUCAAGCCAAAGCAAAAGGCCAGCAGACGACAUUCUGACACUUCGACGGCGGCAAAACCAGGAAAAAUCAGCCCCAGCUCCUCACAGGCACUGCCUGUUGUCACCCAGAAUGAGCUCAAGACUGUUCGGCUUCGUUCAGUCUCUCGUGGUGACUUGGAGGACUGCCCUGAUGGGGCAUCUGACACCAUAGAAGAAGAACAGCAUAACCGAGACCUAGGCGAGGAUCCCAGUCCGCCACCCACCCUCCCAAAACCCAAACCACCUGUUGCCAUCAAGCCCCCAUUACCCAAACGACCCCUAAACCUCCUGCUCAAGUCUCCUUCCCCCUCCUCCACCUCCCCUCUAGCCCUUGACUCACCUCCUGCCUCACCUGUGGACAGACCAGUGCCCCUGGGCAACAUCUACAAAGUCAUGAAAAAACCCAAACCCAAAAAACCUCCACCACAAACAACAAGUCCCUCUGGUCUCCCAGAUUCUACCACCAUUCCACAAACUGCCUAUGAUCAUCAAUUCCUUCCCCACUCCCAGUCCCUCUUUGAUCUCCCUCCUCUUCCAGACCCACAGCCUCUUCUGGAAGACCCAGCACUGGAGCCUGAGUUUGAUGUCGACCCAGAGAUCCAUUCUGGGGAAGGAGGCUCACUCCCCUCUCCCUGUAGUAACCAGGAGGCCCCGGAGCUACAGGACAAGAGCAAGACCCUCCCCUCGAGGAUGACAAUCUCCUGUCUGGCAGAGCUGUCAGACAAAAAGAAACCCAAGGUUCCACCUCCAGUCCCCAAGAAGCCAAAUGUCCUGCUUCUUCCCUCGUCGGUCCACUCCUCCACCAAUGGCAGCACAGAACGUCAGACCCCACAGGCUGAAAGCCCUGUGGGUCUUCCGUCUCCUGUAGGAGCAUUCCCACCAGAAGAGUUACCCGGCUCCCCCAGUGUUCCUGAUAUGCUAGAGCAAGAUGAGAACCACUUGGAUGACAAGUCAGAAGAGGAGAGUUCAAAAGAGUCAUCACUUCAGUCAUCUCUGCAGGAUUCCUCCCUUACAGAGCUGGGAGGGAAAAUGGCCAGCACUGGGAUUGGGGCAGAUGACUCAACAGCCAAUGAGAAGACGGUACUCCACAUCGCUGAGGAAACAGACGACGACUUGUUGGCCAGCACACCUGCAACGCACACCACCGAAGACCUGUUCACUAUUAUUCACAGGUCCAAGCGAAAGGUUCUGGGACGUAAAGAGCCAACAGACUCCUUUGGCAGCCGCCAGAGCCUGGUGUCCCCGGUGAAGCACAGCACCAGCGGUAGCGACCUCCGAAAUCUGACCUUAGGCAGCAGUCAGAGGUCGAGCUCCCGCAAUGAGAACUUCAUGGCCCUGCUCCAGAAGAAAGGCAGCAAGUCUUCCAGCGGAGGAGCCAGAGUCUCCGCCAUGGAGCUUCUCAAAAGCACAAACCCGCUGGCACGACGGGUCACAGAGUUUUCAAACACCACGUCGACGACUGGUGAGGGAGGAGACGUCGCAUCCGGGAAUGGCAAACCCAACGAUCAAUGAAUGGAAGUGUUGUCAACGGAUGUUAACCAGGUCCAUUUGCUGUUGACAAAGCUACCAACCAAUUCUACAAUGUGCCACUCACUGCAGAUGGGGCCUUCUGACUAACAUGUCCAACCGGAUUGCUCCAACUACUGAUUGACCAUUUGCACUGUCCAAUCAAAUUGGAGCACAUAUUUGGACAAAAUGGUCCCUCCCAUGGUUGAAGCACUAUUGUUCCCUGUCAAACCGGUCCCUCUAGGAGAGCGAGAAAUCUGUGGAGAGCAAAGUUCGUUCUCACUAUAUUUUCACUGAAAGUUGGAGGCUUUAGGGUUACGUUUCAACACUGCUCCGUGUUUUCCUAAUUGGGGAUAAGUUCAGUGUGGAGGCUGGAUGCACAGAUGGAUGGGUGGAGUAGACACAGGAAAUGUAGGGAUAUACAGUGGAUAUCUUUACUCCUGACUCUUGAAUGAAGACAACAGUCCCUGAUGACAACAAUGGUCAUAUAAAUGAAUCUGUAACCAGUUAUACUGAUCCACAAGGAUACCACAGAGGAUCAGUGAUCAAAUGAAUUCAAGAAAUAAAUGGAAUAAAAUUCAGAAGAUGCAAGACCUCCUAAUGAUUCGUCUACGGUUUAACCGAAACCCUCCAACCAGUAGCGCUACAGCACUCACACCUGUAGACCUACACAAAUAUAAGGAUAAAUUAUUAAAGGUGCGAUGAUGCAUCUGAAAAAGCAAGCAUGCCCAAAACGUUGGGCAUCAUAACUCUUGUUCUCUCUAUGGUAAAGGCAAUACCAUAGCAGGCAUCAGCAUUGUCAGAAAACUGAACAUUCUGAUCUGAGCGGAUGAAGCGCAGGGUUUACAAAGAAAAACCACGUGGGGGCUUUUUGCCACCAAAGAUGAGGCAUGAGCAUGUCACAGAUUUUGUCGCUCAUGCGAUGAACACGAACCUUCACAAAACAUUCCACAGAAGCACCGAGCAAAUGGACGGCAAUUUGGAACGCAAGCACUUUUCUUUUUCCGUGGCAUCGGAGGUCAUUUCGAUGGCGCACCCUUUGCGUCGCUACAUUUUUUGCCUCUCAUCAAUCAUUAUUUUUCCAGUCUUUUUUUACAUUUUUGUUUUCUUAUAUUUUUCCUACACAUGCUAGAUGGCCAUAUUCUGUACAUGUUUCAUUAGACUGUUCUGUAUGUAUCAUGUACAAAGAUAAAUGUAACGCAUCUAUCAACGGAUAUCAUUUGCAGACACAAAGACUAAAAAUAGUGUACAGAGCAGCAAGCAGCUUGGACUACAAACUGCCCACACCAUGGAGGGAAAACAUACUCAAGCACACACACACACGCACACACACACACACACACACACGGAGUAAGGAGUAACGCCAUGGAAGACAAACAGAACAGACCGGAACAGUGUGUGUGUGUUCAUACGAGUGUGUGCGCAGAUGAAAUCUUGCCUGUGGAGUUUCUGUACGGAGAGCAUGAAGCAGGCCUGGUUAUUAAACAGGGUUUUUAUUCAUUUUGGUCUCUGGUGACGGGACCAAAGGACUGUUAAAAACUACACACAGACCAGAGGGGACCUAGCGGUGUGUAUGUGUGUGUGUGUGUGUGUGUGUGUGUUUGUGUGCUUGUGUGUGUUCAUGUGCAUGUAUAGAGGGAAGUGCCAAGAACAAGACAGAGAAGAAAGAGAAAGAGAGAGUGCACGUACAUGUGCCUGUUUAUGUGUUUGGCAUUUUUGUGUGUGUGUCCUCACUGCGUGUGCAUAUUUGUGUGUGAAUGUGUGUGUGUGUCCUGUCACCCCGCAAUCUUUCCUUGGGAUAGGAUUAGAAUGACCUAACCAGACCCCCUUAAACCAUACAUUACAGAACCAUAAGGAUUUCGGAACCAGAAGGGAUUCCACAACCAAUAGGUUUCUGGAAUCAAGAGGAUUGAGAACCAGUGGAUUAGAGAAGGAAAAAAGAUUCCAGAACCCAAAGGAUUCUGGAAAAACUGGCAGAGUUUGGAAUUCGGGAAUGAGGGGGUCUUGUGAUGAUAGAACCCCCUGGUCAUAAUAGCACCAAUCUUGGAACACAAUCUGAGGUUCAGACCUAGGUUUGAAAAUGAUUUAGCAUAUGGGGGUAAGCGCCAAUAUUCCACUGAUUCCGAUGUAGCCAGCGAUAUCUGGAUAUUCUGGCCAAGACUUCGUCAUUGUCUACUGUAGGGAUGCACGAUGAUAUAUCGGCACUUGAUUGGUAUCCACUGAUAGGGAUACGGUAUUUUGCACAAUGAAUGACUAUUACAUACAUUGAAAAGCAUUCUAUUUCAUGUCUCCAUCUGCUGGUGGGCCAUCACAAUAAGAGUAUGCAUGAAUAUUAUGAUGUUAAUUCCACUAUAGAAGAGACUUGAUGAUAGAAUUAGGUAGGGAAAAAAGUGGAUACAUCAAUAUUGGUCUCAGUUAUUGGUCAAAUGAGUUGUUACAUAUAGGCUUAUCGGAUAUAUAUCAUGCAUCCCUAGUUUACAGUCUGAUUGGCAACAUGAGAUGCUAUAUAGAGUCAUGGCACUCUAUAAAUGGAUAUCUACAUGUGAUUAAUUAAAGGCUAAAUUGUCUUCACACAAUAACUGGUGUAUUUCAAGAUGAUGCCAUUCCAUUGUUCAGACUGCCUAAAAUUCCGAAUCCCCAUUAGUCUUAAGAAGGUCCCAUUGGACCAAAAGCCUAUUUCUCCAACAGCCUGUUAUCCCAAAAACAAACGCCCAUUGCUCAAAAGUCCUGUUUCUCCAACAAUGCACACUCCCUGCAGUUAGAUUCAGUUUCUCAAUAGUGUUCUAGCCACCAAUUCUGAGUGUUUUUAUCAACCCUUUGUGGUAUUUGGGCCACCUAUCCCAGGUGUUCUACCUACCCUUUGUGGCAUUUCCUAGUCCACUGAACCCGAUUUUCUGCCACUUAAUGUGGGUGCUUCAAAUCAAGACAGGAUCUUUUCCUAACCUUAAACAGGUGGACUUUGUGCCGAAACCUAAUCACACAUUCACCACAGUGUCGUUAAGAUACCUUAAGUUUCAGCGUACCUGCUACAAAAUACUGUACAAAUGUACAAGUCUAACAUUUUUUCUGGUGAUUGGGUUGUCUAGCUACAGGCAGUGUGUAUUUUUGGAGAAACUAAACUUCUUCGGAGUCAUGGGUGUUUGUUUUUUGGAUAAUGCGCUUUCAGCAAAAUGGGCUUUCAGUUCAAUGGGAAAUUUUUUGGACUAACAGGGCUCCAGAAAUUCGGGCAGUCGGAACAAUGGGCAGUCCCCCUGUGAGACUGCAUUUCGGCUAAUGCGUUCCGCCUCUCCACAGGAUCUGUUUCCCAGCAUCCAAGCAAAGCCCACUCAGACGUGAUAUGUCAGUACUCUCCGGACUUCAAACCACCGCAAAUGGAAACCAGAACAAUUCUGAUACCAAAAUCUUGUCCUGUUGUCAACAGAUUCUGCAUUAAUAUGCAGAUAUCUGUUUAUAGAGAUUCCUACAGCUCUAGCCAGAGAAUCCGUUUGUCUGCACUGUCGCAGAGUGACAUUACAGGAAUAGUUUGUUUGUUUUGCCCUCCUCCAUACACGUUUUUCACUCUCUGUAUCUUUCGUCUCGGAGGUGAGGUGGUGGUCUGUGACGCCCUCCUCCUCCUCCUCCUCCUCCUCCUCCUUUCCACUCAUUCCUCUCCUCCUUUCAUCGCUGCUGGAGCACACACUCCAUCUGUCUCUCUGCAUAUAGCAUCAUCUCUCUUUUUCUCUCCUGUAAUCACUCUUCUUCUGGCACAUACAGUAGCACACUCCGUCUCUCUCCUCGCCUAUAUACUGCAACCUCUCUCUGUUUUUACACGUAGCACCGCCUCUCUAUCCUUUCCUCUUUUAACCUUCUCUCCAUCCUCUCCUCCCUCCCUGACCCUCCCCCAUUUUCUGUUAACCUUCCCCUGUCUCUCCCAUCUCUCUUCUCUCUCUUCCUUCUCUCUGCAUUCAGUCUAUGCAUCUGAGCUCGGCAGACGACACGACACCGGAUGAAUGUCAAUGAAUGACUGUUAAGAAAAUAGAUGCUGUGCUUAGUUUGAGAGUGCAAAAACAAACAUCUUUCUGUCAGCGCUUAUCUUCUGCCUUCUCUCUUUCUUGCUCUGAGUUUUUAUAUUUUUUUCCUUUUGAGUGUAACAUGGAUUUAACAUGGGUGAAUGGAUGGGAUCUGUGCGCAAACACAGAAACAGGCAGGGUUUGAAUGUGUUUUUGCAUAAAGGACCUUUACUUUCGGACUGUGAACGAAACACCCUGUGGUAUUUAACCCCCCGACCGACCCUCAGUUCUGGAUCAGCGUGUGGACGGUCUGAGAAUUUUGGAUUAGCAGUGGUUCAGCUCUCACACCUGACUUAUCCCCUGCAUGGAUGGACCGUGUGGAGGGAGGAGGGAAACUAUCCCUCGGUGCUAUUGAGUCAGAGCUCCCCCUAGUGGAUGGAAAAGGAGGAACCACACAUAGCAGGAGAGUUAAAAAAAACUCCUUCACACGCAUCUCUCUUCCCUACAACAGUCCUUCAGGUAUUCCAUCAUCCUGAAAAAAAGACGACGAUUUUAAAAAUGCAUAAAUUAUCACCAUUUAUGAUGACUAGUCAAGUGACGCUUGUUUUAAAUAUUUAGUGAAUGAAAAAAGAUAAACCUAUAAAACUCUGUGUUUGUUUGCCUUGUAUACUGAAUUAUGGGCGUGUUGCUGCAGCGCCUGCUGUGUUUUUUUUUUUAUUUCAUUAUAAUUUUUCAUUUCAGCUGCCUUGGUAGUGCAUACACAAACAACCUUUGCAAAAAUCUGGCCAAAAUAACAGAUUUAAAGGGAGCAUUUAUGUUAUAUCUGAAUCUGAACUGUAAAGAAAAGUUUGAAAUCUGGUGCCUCAAGUGACUCAAAUAUUUUAAGUAUUUACCAAACCAAUAUUUGCCCAAAUCUGCAUUCAUGUACAGGUAAGCAGAGUGCGGCAGUGUGGUGAUAUUUUUCUCCUUUCAGAGCAAUAUCCCUCAGAGCGAUCACAGAUCUGAGAUCAGAUAAGUGAAGCUGGAAGGGAGAUCAAAAAACUCCAAAACACAAUUUGAACUAAGCCCAAUAGAUUUUGUUAAAAAUGUGGAAACAGAGAAGAGAGAUAUGAGCAGAGUGUUAGGAGACAGAGGAUGUGUUGUUUCAGCACAAUAAUAACAGGAACAGUGUGUUGUCGAAAAGUACAAUGUGGUGUGUAGAUGCAUGACACAUCUAAAAAUGGGUGUGUAAAAGGAUACGAUGUGUCAGCGUGUUUCAGUGUGUGUCAGGGUCAACAAACCACUGUGUUGGAUCUAUAUGGAAGCAAAUAAGUGUUCAGUAUCAGUAUUAAGAUCCAGGUUGCUCACAUUCAGUUGGUUAGAUUUUAAGGCUGCCCCCGUCUAAGAAUUUUCCUGGUCAACAAUUUAGAGCCAUUAGUCAACUAGUCACCUGCAUGUUUACAAUACUAAGUUCGGGGUGUGAGAAAGAAUAGUAUCAGUAACAUUGUUAACACUGUGCUACAUUACAGAGAAAUACAAAACCGUACUAAUGAACCUUCAUUAAUAUAGGCCUAUAUUUUAUCUACAAGUGCACGUCACACACUGAGCGAGCCGCCUGUU